rnacentral:rRNA from 1 species
AUUGAACGCUGGCGGCAUGCUUUACACAUGCAAGUCGAACGGUAACAGCACUUCGGUGGCUGACGAGUGGCGAACGGGUGAGUAAUACAUCGGAACGUGCCUAGUAGUGGGGGAUAACUACUCGAAAGAGUAGCUAAUACCGCAUGAGAUCUAAGGAUGAAAGCAGGGGACCUUCGGGCCUUGCGCUACUAGAGCGGCUGAUGGCAGAUUAGGUAGUUGGUGGGAUAAAAGCUUGCCAAGCCGACGAUCUGUAGCUGGUCUGAGAGGACGACCAGCCACACUGGGACUGAGACACGGCCCAGACUCCUACGGGAGGCAGCAGUGGGGAAUUUUGGACAAUGGGCGCAAGCCUGAUCCAGCAAUGCCGCGUGCAGGAUGAAGGCCUUCGGGUUGUAAACUGCUUUUGUACGGAACGAAAAGCCCUCUUCUAAUACAGGAGGGUCAUGACGGUACCGGAAGAAUAAGCACCGGCUAACUACGUG